GCACUGCUGAAGAGUCCCAUAAUAGGACGAAACGACCGUCCAGUGC
rfam:Schistosoma rodhaini strain Burundi genome assembly, scaffold: SROB_contig0006746